rnacentral:hammerhead_ribozyme from 1 species
AUUUAGCUGACGAGUCCCUAGUAGGACAAAAGGCGCGUCCUGGAU